rnacentral:rRNA from 1 species
GACGUAGGAUGCAAGCGUUAUCCGGAAUCAUUGGGCGUAAAGCGUUCGUAGGCGGCAUGUCAAGUCUGAUGUUAAAGCCCGGAGCUCAACUCCGGUUCGGCAUUGGAUACUGGCAAGCUAGAGUGCAAUAGAGGUAGGGGGAAGUCCUAGUGUAGCGGUGAAAUGCGUAGAUAUUAGGAGGAACACCGGUGGCGAAAGCGCCCUACUGGGUUGUAACUGACGCUGAGGAACGAAAGCCAGGGUAGCAAAUGGG